UACGUAGGAGGCAAGCGUUGUCCGGAUUUACUGGGCGUAAAGAGCGUGUAGGCGGUUCGUUCAGUCCGCUGUGAAAUCUCCAGGCUCAACCUGGAGUAGUCGGUGGAAACUAGCGAACUUGAGGACGGUAGAGGGGGGUGGAAUUCCCGGUGUAGUGGUGAAAUGCGUAGAGAUCGGGAGGAACACCAGCGGCGAAGGCGGCCCCCUGGGCCGCUCCUGACGCUGAGACGCGAAGGCCAGGGUAGCGAACGGG
rnacentral:rRNA from 1 species